AGCAGCCUCAAUGGUGGCAAAUG
rnacentral:miRNA from 1 species